CCUGGAGGUGCAUCCACUACAAGAUAGUCAAUCUCCCCCCAGUCAACAUCCUUUAAGAACUGCUUGAUCAGUCCAUUCUUGCGGGGACCCCUCCAUAUGACGGCGUCAUCUGGGUUAGGCAGCAUGAAACCAAUUGACAUGACACCAAGGUUGGACUCAACAUAGACUGGUGACCACCCAAGGUUGCUUUGAUGUAUAUCCUGACCCUCCAGGCCCAACAUUUUUGGGAUGCUAGGGCCACAGAUAUCUAUGUCAAGAAGGCCAACCUGAUGCUCCAUUUCAGCUAGGGCAAAUGAGAGCUGGGCUGAGAAUGUGCUCUUUCCAACCCCUCCC
rnacentral:lncRNA from 1 species